CGUUUUAUGACUCCUUGUAUGUCGAGUAAACCUAUUGAAGGUGUGAAGCAACAAUCAUAAUUGAAAAUUAUUCAUGAGAGUAAUUGGAAGUAAUGCAUUCAGUUUAAUUGUUAGAGUUGUUGGUCGAUUGGUAACCAACAAAUAGCAUGUGUGUGAAGAAAUGGCUUCAAGUCGCUUUGUAACUUCUAAGGACUUUUUGAGUUUGUAUACGUAUUAUUAGUUCCUGAGCGUUGAUAUUGUUAUUAAUAAGUAAAGAAUGAUCCCAGGUUCCCCAGUAAUGAGGCUUAAUUUUAAAUUUACGGGUCGGUGCACUGUGCUUAAUUUUGGUUUUUCCGUCUUGGUAUUGCCCAUACUAUUAAAGAUGCGAAAAAAUGGUACCAACUUGCAAAAAUCGUAGAUAUAGUAAUGUUAAGAAAUCAACAGUUAAUAGCAAAUAAAAUAUUUCAUUAUUUUAUUUUUGCUAUUCAAACCCAAUGUAAUCCAGGAAAUAAUAAAUAUCUUGCGAAAAAGCCAUCACUGCAAGUUUAGUCAUGCGUCAAAUAGAUCAAAGACCACCCGAUCAUGAUAAUGUCUAAUCUAACGGUUCCGAUAAUAAUAAUAAUCUGAAAAAAUAUGCAUUGGAAUGAAUAUUGGGUAUAUAAAUAGCAUCUCGAAACCUGACCUCAGAGCGGCACUUGGGUUUAGGCAAAUCGACCCGUUGGCUUAGUUAAACUGUUAAUGCGUUGAACCUGACAUACUUUCGGGAGAUUAGCACUAUUAAUAGUUAACAACACUCUGAGAUUUCGGAAAUAUACCGUAGGAAAAUGAUUAGGAUGGGUAUUUAGGACGUAAAGCCUAAAGUCCCAAUUUAAGCCGUAAUUUAGGUUAUUUUAUUGUAAAUCUUCAUAACUUAAAUAUGUAUUUGGGAUUCUGUGAACUUGAAAUACUUGCAAAUGGAGACCAACAGAUGGAGACCGGCCAGUCAAUGGACAAAAAGAACGAGAUAAGAGGAUACGAGGAACGAGACCAAAAACAAAAAAAGUGAAAUACGAAAUAGGAAAUAAUAUCCAAAACCAUCAAAGGCGAUUUUAAGAAAGAAUACGAAGAGCAAAAUAGAAAACAAGAAAACCUGAUAAAGAUCAUAAAAAUCAUCAACCCUAUAUAUGUUAUUUAUCUUAUUAAAAACUUUACAUUUAUAUUAUCGUCAA